UACCAGCACCCCGAGUGGUCGGGACGUUUUAUUGGGCCUAAAGCAUCCGUAGCCGGUUCUACAAGUCUUCCGUUAAAUCCAGCUGCUUAACAGAUGGGCUGCGGAAGAUACUAUGGAGCUAGGAGGCGGGAGAGGCAAGCGGUACUCGAUGGGUAGGGGUAAAAUCCGUUGAUCCAUUGAAGACCACCAGUGGCGAAGGCGGCUUGCCAGAACGCGCUCGACGGUGAGGGAUGAAGGCUGGGGGAGCAAACCGG
rnacentral:rRNA from 1 species